GUCCAAACUAUAUCAGUUAGCAUAUAUUUACAGUUAUAAAUAACACUACAGGGUCCUCAUACUUUUAUGUCCUGUUUUCAAGAUGAAUUCCUAGAAGAGUUUUAUGGUCAAAAGGUAGGAAUGUUUUAAAGACUGAUGAUGUAAAUUACCAAAUUGUUUUCCAGAAGGAGCACCAGUUACACUCCCGGUGGUGGCUGAGUGUGGGAGUAUCCAUUUCCUGUAUCUUGCCAACACGUGGUCCUUGAAUGGGCAAGAGGGCACAUGAAGUACGGCGUCCUCCACAUUCACGGCCUCUACACGGACCCCUGCGGGGUGGUGCUGGACCCAUCGGGGUAUAAAGACGUCACUCAAGAC
rnacentral:sRNA from 1 species